rnacentral:rRNA from 1 species
CCUACGGGGGGCAGCAGUGGGGGAUAUUGCACAAUGGGGGAAACCCUGAUGCAGCGACGCCGCGUGAGUGAAGAAGUAUUUCGGUAUGUAAAGCUCUAUCAGCAGGGAAGAAAAUGACAGUACCUGACCAAGAAGCCCCGUCUAACUACGUGCCAGCAGCCGCGGUAAUACGUAGGGGGCAAGCGUUAUCCGGAUUUACUGGGUGUAAAGGGAGCGUAGACGGUUAUGUAAGUCUGGAGGGAAAGCCCGGGGCCCAACCCCGGGACUGCUUUGGAAACUGUGUAACUGGAGUACAGGAGAGUCAUGCGGACUUCCUGGUGUAGCGGUGAACUGCGUAGAUAUCAGGCGGAACACC